UACGUAGGGGGCAAGCGUUGUUCGGAAUUACUGGGCGUAAAGCGCACGUAGGCGGAUCGAUCAGUCAGGGGUGAAAUCCCAGGGCUCAACCCUGGAACUGCCUUUGAUACAGCACGUCUUGAGUCCGGAAGAGGUGGGUGGAAUUCCUAGUGUAGAGGUGAAAUUCGUAGAUAUUAGGAAGAACACCGGUGGCGAAGGCGGCCCACUGGUCCGGUACUGACGCUGAGGUGCGAAAGCGUGGGGAGCAAACAGG
rnacentral:rRNA from 1 species